CAAGUCGAACGCGAUUACCUCGCAAGGGGUAACUGAGUGGCAAACGGGUGAGUAACACGUGGGUGACCUACCUUCGAGUGGGGGAUAACGUCCCGAAAGGGACGCUAAUACCGCAUAACAUCCUGCCUUUGAACAGGUGGAGAUCAAAGCUGGGGAUCGUAAGACCUAGCGCUUGAUGAGGGGCCCGCGUCUGAUUAGCUAGUUGGUGAGGUAACGGCCCACCAAGGCAACGAUCAGUAUCCGGCCUGAGAGGGCGGACGGACACACUGGGACUGAGACACGGCCCAGACUCCUACGGGAGGCAGCAGUGGGGAAUUGUUCACAAUGGGCGCAAGCCUGAUGACGCAACGCCGCGUGGAGGAUGAAGGUCUUCGGAUUGUAAACUCCUGUUGCUCGGGACGAAAAGCUUCGACCUAACACGUCGAGGUCUGACGGUACCGAGUGAGGAAGCCCCGGCUAACUCUGUGCCAGCAGCCGCGGUAAUACAGAGGGGGCAAGCGUUGUUCGGAAUUACUGGGCGUAAAGGGCGCGUAGGCGGCCCGCUAAGUCGAACGUGAAAUCCCCGAGCUCAACUCGGGAACUGCGUCCGAUACUGGCGGGCUUGAAUCCGGGAGAGGGAUGCGGAAUUCCAGGUGUAGCGGUGAAAUGCGUAGAUAUCUGGAGGAACACCGGUGGCGAAGGCGGCAUCCUGGACCGGCAUUGACGCUGAGGCGCGAAAGCUAGGGGAGCAAACGGGAUUAGAUACCCCGGUAGUCCUAGCCCUAAACGAUGAAUGCUUGGUGUGGCGGGUAUCGAUCCCUGCCGUGCCGAAGCUAACGCAUUAAGCAUUCC
rnacentral:rRNA from 1 species